UACCAGCACCCCGAGUGGACGGGACGAUUAUUGGGCCUAAAGCAUCCGUAGCCGGUUCUACAAGUCUUCCGUUAAAUCCACCUGCUUAACAGAUGGGCUGCGGAGGAUACUAUGGAGCUAGGAGGCGGGAGAGGCAAGCGGUACUUAGUGGGUAGGGGUAAAGUCCGUUGAUCCAUUGAAGACCACCAGUGGCGAAGGCGGCUUGCCAGAACGCACUCGACGGUGAGGGAUGAAAGCUGGGGGAGCAAACCGG
rnacentral:rRNA from 1 species